rnacentral:rRNA from 1 species
AGAGUUUGAUCCUGGCUCAGGACGAACGCUGGCGGCGGGCUUAUCACAUGCAAGUCGAACGAACAGUACGCCCAAACUUCUGUUAGGUGUAAUGUGAGUGGCGAACGGGUGAGUAACACUUACGUAACCUGCCCUCGAGUGGGGGAUAACCAUUGGAAACGAUGGCUAAUACCGCAUAAAGUCCUGACAACUCAUGUUGUCAGGAUGAAAACUCUGGUGCUCGAGGAUGGACCUGCGGCGGAUUAUGAAGUUGGUGAGGUAACUGCUCACCAAUCCUGUGAUCCAUAGGUGGUCUGAGACGAUGAUCAUCCUCACUGGUGCUGAGACACCGGCCAUACUCCUACUGUAGGCAGCAGUGAGGAAUAUUGGGCCCUGGGCAAAGACCAGACCCAUCCACGCCGCGUGCUCGAUGACACCCCUCUAUGGCAUCAACUGCUUUUAUAUAGGAAGAACACUCUUCAUUCCCCGGGAGCUGACUGUACCAUACGAAUAAAGACCGGUUAACUCCGUGCCUUCAGACGCGGUAAUACGGAGGGUGCUUAGCUUUGUCCGGAUUUAUUGGGUGCAAAGGCUGCGAAUGGCGCCUUGCCCGUCCGAGUUGAUAUCCUGCUAAUCAACCGCAGAACUGCCCUUGAAAGUGAAGGUCUUUAGUCCUGGAAAAACACCUAGAAUUCAUGACGCAACCCUUGAAAUGUGUUG